CCUACGGGUGGCAGCAGUGGGGAAUAUUGCACAAUGGGCGCAAGCCUGAUGCAGCCAUGCCGCGUGUGUGAAGAAGGCCUUCGGGUUGUAAAGCACUUUCAGCGGGGAGGAAGGCGUUAAGGUUAAUAACCUUGUCGAUUGACGUUACCCGCAGAAGAAGCACCGGCUAACUCCGUGUCAGCAGCCGCGGUAAUACGGAGGGUGCAAGCGUUAAUCGGAAUUACUGGGCGUAAAGCGCACGCAGGCGGUCUGUCAAGUCGGAUGUGAAAUCCCCGGGCUCAACCUGGGAACUGCAUUCGAAACUGGCAGGCUAGAGUCUUGUAGAGGGGGGUAGAAUUCCAGGUGUAGCGGUGAAAUGCGUAGAGAUCUGGAGGAAUACCGGUGGCGAAGGCGGCCCCCUGGACAAAGACUGACGCUCAGGUGCGAAAGCGUGGGGAGCAAACAGGAUUAGAUACCCGAGUAGUC
rnacentral:rRNA from 1 species